UCCGAAGGGAGCUUCCGCAAGGACACUCGUAGAGGUGCUGCAUGGCUGUCGUCAGCUCGUGUCGUGAGAUGUUGGGUUAAGUCCCGCAACGAGCGCAACCCUUGUUUGCUGUUGCCAUCACGUUAUGGUGGGCACUCUGCAAAGACUGCCGGUGAUAAACCGGAGGAAGGUGGGGAUGACGUCAAGUCAGCAUGGCCUUUAUGUCUGGGGCUACACACGUGCUACAAUGGCCGGUACAAACCGUCGCGAUACCGCAAGGUGGAGCUAAUCGGAGAAAGCCGGUCUCAGUUCGGAUAGCAGGCUGCAACUCGCCUGCUUGAAGUUGGAAUCGCUAGUAAUCGCGGAUCAGCACGCCGCGGUGAAUACGUUCCCGGGCCUUGUACACACCGCCCGUCACAUCACGAAAGCCGGUUGUACUAGAGGUCGCCAUAUCAACCCGCAAGGGAGAGAGGCGCCUAAGGUAUGGUCGGUGAUUGGGGUGAAGUCGUAACAAGGUAGCCGU
rnacentral:rRNA from 1 species